AGCCGAGCGAAGAAAAAGACCAGUAAAGACGGUGAUGGUGUAAAGAGAGUGCACUGAUGGUGAAAUGUGCAUCCCCGCUCCCUUCUUGAACCUACUUUUGAGCUGCCGUGAAAACACGGACGUUUUAUCCGCGGUAAGGAUUUCGAGUCGUGCCGUUUAUCGGCAAACUUAGGUGGUACCGCGGAAAUUAAGCGUUUUCGUCCUUGCA
rnacentral:ncRNA from 1 species